AACGCACGAGACCUGCGGACCUGCGGAGGGAUCAUUACAGGACUCGCAAGACUCCUAUAACCCUGUGAACUUACUACAAAGCACGUUGCUUCGGCGGGUGCCUCCGGGUGGUUUUCCUCCUGGAAGCGCUAAGCCCGCCGGCAGCCUACUAAAUUCUGUCUCUUUGCGUUGGCAUCUCGAGUACAAACAAAUAAGUUAAAACUUUUAACAACGGAUCUCU
rnacentral:misc_RNA from 1 species